rnacentral:lncRNA from 1 species
CCUUGCAUGAAUAGUUCUUGUUAUUCUCAUGGCUAUAUUAUCUUUUUUUCUUAUUUGCUACUUUUAGUUUUUAUUUCAUCUUAGCCCUAGGUUGCCAGCUAAGAGCUUUUUCUUAUAAUAGUCAGCCAUGUAUAAACUAUGUUGAAUGAAAACCUGAUUUUUAUUACAACAUUUUUAAUUACUGUUUCCAGGGCUGGCAUUGGAGGAGUUCUCAGAGAUGACAUCCCCCCUCUGUUUUUGUGCAACUUAUGUUGGAAAUUAUAGACAUGGUAGGGGUCAAGCCAUGUCUUUCCUCUGGACGGAUCAUUGGAAAUUAUACUGUACUUUCUAUAUUGCAUUUACAGUUUGCUCUAACCAUUACACCUUCAGAAAUUCAGAUAACUUAGACAUGUUCUUUUUAUGUCCUACCAAAUAGAUGUGGUGAUGGCGUAUACUGACAUUCCCAUGGAUGAUUGAUGCAUAUUCUUUCUUCAUAUGCUUAAAAGACCAUAAAUCAAUAAGCAAUGAGAAACCAAUCCAAUACCUUUCAUCCAAGAAUUAUAUAACACGCACAACACUAUCGGAUUUUUGGUUAACCCAUUCAGAAUCGAUAACCCUAUAAUAAAAAAAAAAAAUCGUUGGUGAAACCGCUAUACCAAUAAUCCAUUACCAUAAAGCAAUACCUCUUUUUUACGGAUUAUCGAUUUCGAUUCGAUUUGAACAGCCUUAUAUGAAAAUAUAUAAUAAGACAUCCCUAUAAACCUAUUCCUAUAUAAGGUAGGACAAACAAAUUCUAGCUAGACAUAAUUAAAUAAAUACCAAAUAAUAAAUCCUAAACUACUUAGAAUUCUUACUAUUUCUUUAUUUCCUAUAUCAUAUAAACUAAACUUAUGACUUUUUGAAGUUGAAUACGAAGUUAAUUCCGGAAAGGAAAAUAAACUCUGUUAUUCUCACCAAAACACAGCCAGAAAUAUUGAAUUUGUUUCCUACUUCACAUAUACAUAGGAAAAUAUUGAUUCUAUAUAAAUAAUAAAGCUGCUCUGUUUCGUUUACCAUAAGUCAGAAGGCAUGGCGUUUCGAGGUGAAAGUAUGAAGGGAAUGAAGAUAGGUGUUCAAGUGGAAGCACCAUCAUAUGCAUACAGCCAUUGUAGGAAGUUUGGGGCUUUAUUACCCGAAUAUGGAUUUUUUAUUUUUCAACUAAAAUAAACAUUACUAUCAAUAUCGAUGUAAGAAAAGCAGAUUAACACUAUAAGGUCCUGAAAUGCACAUGAAAAUUGCUCUCAUCUUUGUAUGAAACAUAGAUGCUUCUCAGAUAACCUUGUAAUACCUGAAAGUUUUCCAGAUUAGGACUAAUUUUGAAUGAAUAAGGAAUUUUCUGAGUGUAAAUGAUUACAAGCCAAAGAGCACCUCGACAUCUCCUUUGAACAAUCCAGAUGAUCACCGCCCUCAGAAAGAAACAAAAAAAAGACUAGUUACAACUUACAAGUGUAAUCUUUGCAUUAAACCCCUAUAUCUAUGAAGUUUCUUGUGCAGGCAAGGUAAAGUCAAUCUACCCAUCAACUCCUCUGUAUAUACAGUUUCUCCUUUGAACAGCUUCCAAUUCCGAGCCCUCCAUGUAUGGUAGAUCAUUGGCCCCCCAGAUGGCUGCAAUAACCUUUUGUAUGGAUUUCCAAUGUUUCCUCCUAAUUUCCAUUAACACUUGUCACACGCCCCUCAUGUUGUAAUCUGAUUCCAGCCCAUUGCAUCAUAGCUUUUUCCAGUACCAACUACAGUCCUGACGAUGUUUAAGCAGUAUGAAUUGAAAUACACAUAUGUCAUUUAAUCAGUAAAUAACAUCAAGAAAUUAUGAAAACAAAUUUCACUCCUCAAAGUCUUCCCUAUUUCUUAUACUGUACUUUUUAUAUUGCAUUUGCAGUUUGCUCUAACCAUUACACCUUCAGAAAUUCAGUUAACUUAGACAUGUUCUUUUUAUGUCCUAACAAAUAGAUGUGGUGAUGGCAUAUACUGACAUUCCUAUGGAUGAUUGAUGCAUAUUCUUUCUUCAUAUGCUUUCAAGAAUAUCCCCAUCCUACAUAAAUAUAUGUAAGAAAAUCUACACGCUUCAAUAGAAAACUCACCUUAUAUUCAAUUUAGCAACUAAUUGACAAACCUUAGUUAUCAUCGUCAUGUUGUGCCACAAUUAAAUAUGUGUAAAUACUGAAGGAUAGUACAAAUACAAUAUAUCAUGCAUAGAUUCAUUUUUUUUAAAAUUCUGUAGUAGGCAGAUCUUCGUUCUACUGUUAAGCAAAGUUUCAUUCUUGACUUGGGAUGUUUGAUGCUUAGAAGAACUAAAAACUUUCAAUUCAACAUGGUUGCACAAGCUAUAUAUAAUGUCUUUUGCAAUUGAGAUGUGAAAUUAAAACGUGAUAAGACCAUAAAUGUAUAAGAAAUGAGAAACCAAUAUAUCCAAUAUCUGCCAUCCAAGAAUUAUAUAACGCACAACAACUAGCUGCAAGUCUAUAACAUCUAGUUCUGACAAUGGAAGUUUACUUAUUUCCUAAAACUUCUGAUCGUUAUCCGUUAUUAUCUUCUCUGAAAUUUAGAUUUUCUAUGGAGCAUAAAAAUAAGGAUAUGAUUUUGAUGAUGAGAACGACAUAAUUUAUAGUCUGAAAAGAAUAUUAAACGUCAUUUGUAACGUCAUUAAUAUCAAAGUGAUACGUCAUUUGUAAUGAUCACACAGAUUUAUGUAUAAACUGUUCAAAGUAUAAACAUAACGUUUACAGUCAAUGGUAACAAAACUGUGAAACUAUCUUUAUUCACUUACACUUUGCUGUCAGACCACAUUCAAGCUACUGUCUAUUCAAUAGAGAAGCUGUAGAACUUUCCUAUUACCACCUGAGCUAGAACGGUAACAACUUGAAUAUAUUGUUAUCAGAAUCCUGACAAAGAAAAAAGUUUGCUAAGUUAAUAUCCGAUAAUCAUUAAUAAAAACCUGAAUAAUACUAAACAAAAACUUACAUUUGUUUAAAUGAUUAAAGGUAUUCGCCAUCGAUCUUUAUGGUGGAGAUAUGAGCAGCUUCUGGCCAGUAUUUCCCCUUGUCAAAUUUUAGGAGUCGUUUGAGGAAUGGGCAUUUGGAAAUAGAUAGUUUAGAGAGGGAAGAGAGCAUCCCGUUUACUGGAAGGGAUUUGAGAUUACAGCAAUCACUGAUGGUCAGCUCAGAGAGGGAGGAGGGCAGGGGUGGAAGGGAUUUGAGAUUAGGGCAAUCACCGAUGAUCAGCUGAGAGAGUGAGGAGGGCAGGGGGGCAAGAGACUGGAGUUGAUGGAAAGAGAAGAUGGCUAAACAUUGAAGAGGAGAGGAGUGAAGCCCUUCUUCCAACAUUGACUGAAUUUGAGGUAAAUUACCAAUAAAUAGAUAUUCAAGAGAGGUGAGGCUUUUGAGAACUUGGCUGCUUAAUGUUUUCAGAUUGGAUAUGCUAAGACUCUUAAUAGAGGAAGGCAACUCCCAAUUCUCACCAGCAAGAAUCUCUUCGUCACUGUCAUCAUGGUGGAUCCCUAACUGUUUGAGACAGGGGAGUCUCUGUAAACGCCACUCCUUUCUGCCGUUCACCAGUUUCUUGCAAUUGUGGAUCACAAGGUCUUGUAAAUUGAAGGGUAAUCCUCCUUCAGGAAAGGACUCUAUUUCUGGACAAUUAUACAGAAUUAGAUCCUUAAGAGAUGGAGGGAGUUGUGGCAGCCGCUUCAGCUUUGUAAGGUUGUCACAACGGAGUCUUUCAGUCGCAGUAGGAAUUAAAAACCUAGAAAGGUUGUGGCAACGAAUUACAUCCAAAGAACAUGCUCUUGAGAUCAACUCAGUUAUAGAAUCACAUUCUUCCAGUAUCAAAUUCUCGAGAAACAUCUCACCAACUGACGCCUCCAAUUUCAAUUUCUGGCAACAAGAUAUAUUUAUUGUCUUCAAGGUACUGGGAAGAAUGCUAAAAGGUAAGGAGGUAAGAGAGUUACAAUCACUAAUAAAUAAUCCCUCAAUCUUCUUCAUUCCCUCAAGUUGGGAUGUAAACAGCUGAGCCUCAUCAAAAAGAACUCCAACCUUAGGAGAACCACCAACUUCAAACCUUUUUAAACUUGAAAGUUGGAUGGGUGACUCCAAAUUGAGUUCGGGACAUUCUGAAAUGGUCAAUUCUUUCAGAGAACAGAGAUUUUCAGGCAACUUCCCCAUUAACUUUGGACAAUUUUCAAUUGAAAGCUUCUCAAGUGUAGGAAACUCUCCAUUUCCUAGUACGUGCCAUUGCUUCCACUCCGGCAUAUCUUCAAAUUCAAGCUUCUCAAGAGAGUUAAAAGGCUUUUUAGAGGAUGAACUGCCAUAGAAUUCUUCCAUCACCUCUGUUAUUCGAUCCAUCCCUCUAAUGGAAAGGAAUUUCAAAGAAGGGAGUUGUCCUAGUGCUGGCAAGGAAUCACAGUCCGUGCAGUGGCUAAGAGACAAUUCUACCAGCUUAAGAAACAAAGAAUCAGCUAGCCAAUUUGGAAAUUUCAUCCCUCUAUAUCCGAUGAUGUUGACUUCUUUUAUGUUCUUAUGUGGGCGUAGCUCAUCAAGUAUGUCACUUUCAGUUUGUGAAUUGUCGACACUGCUACUUCCACUCCACCUCAAAGAUAACUUGUCAACAUGAUUCUUCUCCCUCAUCUUUGCCUUCACAGCUUCCCUUCUAUCAACCACAUUUUGCAACUCUAGAACUGAUAGAGAUCCAUACAAGUUAUUUAAUUCACCCAAAUCUUCCAUUCUCAAACCACCGCGACCACCUUCAAGAAACUUGGCUCCCACCAACACUUGGAGGCUUUUCAACUUGCUCAGAUGUAGUGGCAUCUUCAAGCGAGAAGUGUUGCUUAUGUCAAGAUGACGCAAGUUAAUCAACUUCUCCAUAUGCAGCGGUAGCUCCUUAAGAUAACCACAAGAUGACAGGAGAAGUGUCUCUAAGUUAUACAAUACACAAAUGGAAUAAGGCAACUUUUCAAUCAUUGUCUCAGAAAGGUCCAAAAAUCUGAGGAGCUUUAAUUUGAUAAACAAGUCAUUUGGCAACUCCGUAGCAUGGUAAUGAGACAAUGAUAGUGCCCUCAAGGAUCUUAGUCUUGGCAGUAUGUUAUGCUGCACCCUCUUGCUUAGAUGGUAAUAAUAAUAAUAAUGUUUGAGAUCAAUAUAGAUCGGAAGCAAUGUCCUCAGCUGCUCCAAUUUGUAGAGGGGAGUCAAUUUCUCAAACUCACCAUCAUUUCCCAUUGAAUAAGAUAAGUGCCGACUUUUUUCCAACAUAUGCGAUCCUUGGCUCUCUUCCAACCUGAUACAAAGUUUUGAAGAUGCAAUUUGGGCUAAAUCGUUGACAAGGUCAUGCAUUAAGAAUUUCUCUAUGUUCCCUUCAGAAGGAUUUGGGACCCUUUCGAAUAAUGAUCUUGAUCUCAACUCCAGAAAAUAUUGGUUGCCUGAAUCUUCAAUUAUUUCAUCUUCCUGUGGUACGAGACCAUUGGCAAUCCACAGAUGAAUAACUUGUUCUUUCCUAAAUGGAUAAUCUUUAGGAAAUAUUGCACAAUAGGAAAAACAUCGUUUUAAUUGUGCAGGAAGAUCAUUGUAGCUCAACAUCAGCGCUGGUAAUAUGUCAUUGUGUGGCAGCUCCCAUAUUUCACUUCUCAAAAUACGUUUCCACUCUUCAACCUCUGAUUUGGAGCGUAACAUGCCAGCCAGCGUCUUCAGAGCUAAGGGCAGUCCUUUGCACUUAGCUGCAAUUUGUUUUCCGACCUCUUCAAGUUCUGGAUGUUCCAUAGGAUCCAUGUUUUCAAAUGCAUGUCUUUUGAAUAAAGACCAAGAGGCUUCAAUAGACAAAUUGUCCAUGCUAAUUUGCUCAUUUCCCAUCAUCAAGGCAACACUCUCUUUACGUGUCGUCACAAUGAUCUUACUACCUACAUCUCCUUGUACAAACAUAUUUCUCAAGUCAACCCAUUCGUUGUAGUUGUCAUUCCACACAUCAUCCAGAACAAUAAGAAACUUCUUCCCCUUUAAGUUCUCCUUCAAUUUGACUUGAAGCUGAUUAAGAUUGUCAUCAACCUUUAAGUCAGUUGAGCCAAUUUCUUGAAGUAACCCUUUUGUUAUUCUGAAAGCAUCAUAUGUCUCAGAAACACAAAACCAAGCUUUCAAACCAAAAUAAUCCUUCACCUUCUCAUCAUUGUAAACUACUUUUACAAGUGUUGUCUUACCCAGGCCGCCCAUUCCAACAAUAGGAACUACUGUCAUAUUCUUUCCACUUGCAUCUUCAGACAAUAUACGGUCAAUCAAAUCUGCUAUUUCACUCUGCCUUCCAAAGAUAUCAGAAUCAUCAACCAAAGAAGUUGAAGGUGUUCUAGUUUCUUGUUUAGUUGAACCAAAAUGCUCCGUUAAGCCAAGGUCACCAAUUUGCUCUUGCAAAUCCUUUAAUGUUUCAAUAGUAUCUUCCAACUUCUCCUUUAUGUUAAGACAAAAAGCAUCACUCAAGCACAGGUUGCAAAUCCUCCAAUGUUUCAUUAGUGUUUCUGCAAGAUUUUGAUGUUGACUUUCCACCUUAAGCCUCAAAUCUUCAUAAUUGACUUCUUCUAUUAAGUUUUCAGCAGAGUCCACAGCAACUCGAAGCUCAUUAAGCCAGUCUCUCACAGAUGGAUUUGAUGCUUGCUUAUUCUCUGCAUCACUUAGCACAAUCUGAAGACCACGCAACGUCAUUUUCAGCUUCUUUAAGAGCCGAACAUGAUGCUUUUGCUUCUGAAACAUGUUGAGAAGAUCACCCUGAGGAGCAAGCCUUUCAAAGAGAACAUUAAGAGCUGAAGAGAGAAAUGCUCCACCAACUACCUCCAUUUCUGAAAUCUGCAAGCAAAACAAGGAACCACAAAAUGAUUUCAAGAAUUUUGAGAAGAUAAAUGUUUCAAUCUUAAAUUACUAACAACUUUAUUUUACCUGUUGAAUGGUAAGAGUAAUAUGUAAUAAAGAAUGAUUGCUCUCUCUCAAUUACUUGUAAUUGAUACAACUAUGUUUUAUGUACAGUCAACAGCUGACAGACAUAGAAAAAAGAAGUGGCAAAACUGUCCUUUUUCCCAAAAACAAAAUAAUGGAGUCUGGUUUCUUGACUAUUCAUUACUUUUUUCAAUUCAAUAAUUGAAGCAAGAGAGGAAAGGGACUCCCACCCCAUGUUUAUGAAUAGCAGUAAACAUGGCUCUUAGUUAAAGAGCUCAGUUGUUUUGAGGGAAACAAAAGCAUUAAUUAUACUGGAAGUGUGUGUCUCUAGAUAUGCUGUUCACACCAUCUAUAGAAGAAGUUCAAGUGUUUUUCUGAUGCAUUAACUGUAACUACAAGGAUGAGAUCAGUAUUCUUUUCACACUAAUCUACAGAAGAUCACAUAAAUGAUCAAAUAUCAUGUAUAAACUGAGUUCAUGUGGUCAUCAAGAGUUAGAUUUACCUGUUGAAUGCUAAGAGUAAUUUUCAAACAAGAAUGAUCACUGAUUUCUCUCUUCCUCCCUUUUGCUUGUAAUUGGUACAGUCCUUUUUCUUUUUCAAAAGUUGUUUUUCAUCCAACAAGAAGACAAAGACUUCAUAAUGGAGUCUGGUUUCUUGACUAGCUCAAUAUAAUAAUUGAGAAAAAUAAAACCAAAUGAUCAGAGUAUACCAACUGUUUGCUUUUGUUAAUUGAAUAAUAGAGGAAGGUAUCUUUUGCUUUAUGUCUAUUCAUUACUUUUAUUUUAUGCACUUGUCCAUUUUUCAACAGCUCAUUAUAGUGCUUAAUUGAGCCUAACAUAUCAUGAAUACAAAUCGAAGUGUGGAGAUUAAUUAUUUUGGACAUACAAAUCUUCUAUACUACCUUAAAAACAUGAACUUCCAAACAUGAAUGUUGAAUUACUAUAUUACCCCCAAUUAAAAACAUGAACUUCCGAUAAGUAGUGACUUUAUCGAAAGGUUGUGACUUUUCGGAUAAGGCACAAUUAACACCUAUUCAUACUACUAUUUGGUAGCUAUAAAAAGAGGGGGUUUCCUCACACUUUUAAACUACAAUUUUUUAAAGUUCUCUACUCUUCUUCUUCUUAAAUAAUCUCAAGUGUUAUUUGCAAAAAUUGAUUAAGUUCGAAAUUCGAGGUACCUCAUAAGAAAAGAUGGUGAAAAAAUUGUAGCAAAUCAUUCAUUAAUUCACACCCGUAAUUUUUCUUACCAUUUUCAUGAGUUAACAGUGAUAAAAAGUUGUGGGAGAGACAAUAAUAUUAAAUAGAUAUGAAAAAAGGCAUAUGAUUUUGGUAAGAUAUUUCUUCUUUGUUUUUUUAUUUUUUAUUCUUUUCCCUCAAACGAAGGAACUUCUUCCUAAUUUGUCUAAAAUAAUGGAUAUCAAUGUAGUCCAUUGAAUUAUUAGUUUUGACGUUAAAUUCACUAUUUCAAAAAUAGAUUUUCCCUGUCCUUUUUUCAAUGGAGUCUGGUUUUUCAUUACUUUUGCACUUCAAUAAUUGAAGCAAGAGAAUAAGGGCGGGUGUACAAAGCCCCCCCAAGUAAUAAAUUUCUACACACCUUAUUAUUAACGUGCUAAAAGGGACUUAUGUUGGUGCAACCAUAAAUUCGUCUUUGUGUGACUUAUAGGUCACACAGGUUUGAGUCGUGAAGGCUAAUACUAAUUUUUGUAUUAGGUUAGGUUGUAUAUAUACAUCAAACUCCUUGAGAUAUGACGUUUUUCCGAACUAUACUAACGCGGAGUACUUUGUACACCAAACUCUCCUUGCCCUAUCCUCUGUGUAUUGAAGCACAAUGUUUUUAGUGACAAGUUCCUUGAAGAAGCAAAUUAGAUCAACUAAAUAAAUUUGUUAGAACUUUUAUACUUCUUCGGUUUCAAUCUAAGUGUCGUAUUUAUCUUUUUGACUUGUCUCAAAAAGAGUAUGUCUUUCAAUUCCUAAAUUCUACCUUGUAAAUUUAAUAUCAUAAAAUUUAAAAAACUACACAUAUCUUUAAUUUAAGAUCAUAAAAUUUAAAACUCUCAUUUUAUUUAAUAAACUUUGUGCUCAAGUAAACUAAGACACUUAUAUUGAAACAUAGUGAGCACAUCAAGACCGAAAAAUAAACCAUGACGUUAACAUUACGGAAUAUUAGCACAACCUCAAGACCAAACAAAGUCAUCCUCAGCUUCAGAACAUGCACCACAUCUGCAAAGCAAAAUAAAGAACUAAAAAUGGUUUAAGAAAUUAAUUUGAGAAGAUAAAUGUUUCUAUCUUCAAAAUUACUAAAGGAACUUUACUUUACCUGUUGAUGCUAAUUAUGGAAAUGAAUUAUGUAAGUGUUAAAUUUUGUAUAAGUAAUAUCAUGUUUGUUAGUUGGUUAAGAGGUAAGUUAUUCAUGUAUAAAAUUAAUGAGUUUAUGUGGUGUUCGGUUUACAAUUUAGAAAUUCACGUAACUUAUACAUGUAUAGAUUAAUAUGAGGAAAUCUAUAUACUUCCUCCGUUUCACAAAGAAUAGUCUAGUUUAACUUGACACGGAGUUUAAGAAAAUAAAGAAGACUUUUGAAUAAUCUUGUGGUCCUAAAUUAAAGUUAUGUCAAAUGUACAAAAUUGUCAUUUAAUCUUGUGGCCUUAAACAUGUCACGUGGAAAACUGAAAUUAAAAUAUUACCAAAAUAAGAAAGAAGUCAUUCUUUUUUAAACAGACUAAAAAAGAAAGGAGGUCAUUCUUUUUUAAACGAAGAGAGUAUUAUUUUACGCGGGAUAAAAAAUGAAAUAAGUAAUACAUAAAUAAAUAAAUCAUAGAUCAAAUAAUACAUAAAUCCCAUUUCUACUAAGCCAAUCUCCAUUUCUGAAAUCUGCAAAUCAAAACAAGGAGAACACAAAAUGAUUUUGAGAAGAUAAUUUUUUCUAUCUUGAUUUACUAACAACUUUACUUUACCUGUUGAAUGCUAAGAGUAAUUUGCAAACAAGAAUAAUCAGUGAUCUAUAAUUGGUACAACUAUAGUUUUCUACAGUCAACAACUGACAGCUAUAGGAAAAUAAGUAAUAGUUUAUAUUGUCUUUUUUUACCUUUUCCAUGAGUAUCACUUUUCACCUAACAACAAGAAUCUUUUAUCUCAAUUGAAUAAGAGAGGAAAGAUAUUUUAUUUAUUUUGCGUGGGUGGGUGGGGGAUGCGGACAGCCAUAGAAGAAAAAAGAAUCAAAACUGUCCCUUUUUUUUUUUAAUCAAAAGUAUCACUUUUCACCUAACAACAACACUUUGUCUUCAUAAUGUUCUAUUUUCAUUUCUUCUUACUUUACCAUCAUUUUUAUACAUUUUAUCAAAGCACAAGGGUGAACAUGUGCAACUCUAAACCGCAUCCUCCUUUCUCAAGUCACUGGAAAAAUUGAAACAACAAAAAUGCAUGGUCUAGGUAGGCCUAUUUGCAAUGAUAGUUCUAUAUGUUAAAGAACGAAAAAAGUCUCACAUUAGUAAUUAAUAAGAUGGGUGAUCACUUUAUCAGGCUCAGACAAUCUCUUUAAGUCAGCUUUUGGAGUGUGGGUUAGACAAAAACUUAAUUGUACACUAUUUUACCCUAUUGAAUGAAUAUAGCUUUAACUUUUUUCCAAUAAGACAACCUCAUAUUUCAAAAGACUAUUCAUAUUGGGUUGAUGCAAUUAAAAUCGAUGUAACACAAUUUAUCAACACUAAAUCAUUUAUUAUUAUUUGUAAUUUUGUAUUAUAUAAAAAUUAUAUUUUUGAUUAUGUUCGUAGUAUACUUAAUUUUCGUUUAUAUUAUUUUUAUUUAAGAUUUAAGUUAAUUUUAUUAUAAAUUAAAAAGAAAAUAUAAUCAUUACAAAAAUGAAAAAGUGCAAAUGUAAUAUAUAUUAUUAAUAAAUAACACAAUGUACUUUAAAUAAUCGAAAGGGAAAAUGCAUAAGUACCCCCAGCCUAUACCCGAAAUCCCAGAGACACACCUAACCUUUACUAAGGUCCUACUUACCCCCCCCCCCGAACUUAUUUUAUAUGUAACAUUCUACCCCUUUUUGGCCUACGUGGCACUAUCUUGUGGGCCUAGCGCAUGUUGACACUUUUUUCAAGGAUAGUGCCACGUAGGCCCAAAAAGGGUAGAAUAUUAUACAUAAAUUAAGUUCGGGGGAGGGGCGGGGGUAAUAGGACCUUAGUAAAGGUUAGGUGUGUCUCUAGGAUUUCGGGCAUAGGCUGGGGGUACUUAUGCAUUUUCCCUAAUCGAAAACAAUAAACAUGCAGUGCUGAUUCGAAAAGUGAUUGGAGAUUAGGGCAAUCCCUGAUGUCUAGACUUUGAAGCAAAGUGAGGUGCCAAAGACGUAGUGUCUGGAGCUCAUGAUGUCUAUAUAAAUAUAGCUUAGAAAGAGAGGAGGGAAGCCGGCCUUCUUCCGGUAGUGACUGAAUUUGAGGUAAAUUACCCGCAAUACGUGGAUAUUGAAGAGAGGUGAGGCUUUUGAGAAGUUGGCUGCUUAAUGUUUUCAGAUUGGAUACCGCAAGUCUUUGAAUAUAAAAAGCAAUAACAUCAAAAAAUUUUAAACUUGAAAGUUGGAUGGGUGUCUCCAAACUGAGUUCAGGGCAAUUAUUAAUGAAAAUCUUCUCAAGUAUAGGGAACUCUCCAUUUCCUAGUAUGUGCCCUUGCUUCCACUCGGCAUAUCUUUAAAUUGAAUCUUCUUGAUGGAAUGUAUGCAUCCACCAGUGUGAUGUAGUACCAGUAUUUUAACUGCUUUCACUAAUCACAAGCAAAAGUAAAUACAAAUUUCAAUGAGACUAAAUUCUUGAUCUCACUCUAAGUAAUACCUCUAUUACUUACUGAGCCAAAACAAUGCUUCCAUUGCCCACUAUAUUAACUAUCUCUAAUUAAUAUAGACUUCAAUACAUAAGACACAAAGUUAACUCUAACAAUGUUCUUACACUCAAUACACACAAAGGUUUGAAACGUUUCUUUAUGAAUGUGAAACAUAUCCUACAAUUAGCACAAUACAAGCAUUCAACAACACCAACACAUAAAGAUUGCUCUUCUUCAGUCUUUCAGGUCCCUUGUUGUAUGUGUUCUUUUAUGCUUGAGUUCUUGAGAAGAUAUUUGCACCUGCUUGGACACUAAUUACUAUGGUGUUAAGAAUGUUACCGAAGCUCUUUUUCCAUUGCUGCAAAAUUCUCCUUCACCAAGAAUUGUUAAUGUCUCUUCCCGUAGAGGUGCUUUAAAUGUAAGUAAGACUGUCAUUCGCGUUGUUUCUGAAACAAGAUGCUCUCGAGGUGAACGGUUGGAAGAUGAUUGGACCAGUCUAUAUAGCAUAUCAAAACUAUCACUUAAAGCUUACACCAGAGUUCUUGCAUAAGUACCCAAAAAUGUGCACAAUUGUGUCCAUCCUGGAUUCGUCAACACGGAUAUAUCCUGGCAUAGAGGAACAAUAAUGCCUGUUGAGGAAGGAGCUGAAGGAUCUGUCAUGCUAGCUCUUUUACCUGAUGGAAGACCUACUGAUUUCUGCUUUGAUCGUACAUUAGUCACCGAGUUCUAGAUAUAACAAUAACUAUGCCCCAGUCUCAAACAAGUUUUGAAAUAAGACUAUUUCUUUCAGUGUCUCUUGGUAUUUACUUGGUGUUCUGGUGGUUGUAUUAGUAAUUGAAAUAAUGAAGGAAGCAAAGGAUAAAAUUGUUCCUUUUACUUGUCCAUGUCAAUGGACUCUUGUUUUAAAAUGAAAUAGGGGUACGGUGGAUAUAGAAUUAUCAUAUCGAAUUUUUUGAUAUUAUAGCAUUUGGUAUACAUUUUAAAUGUUUUGGUAUUCGAUAGGCGAUAGUCCCCGUGUGUGGGCUGAUCUUGCUCUGAAUUAGUUUAGAGGUAUUGUUUUUAUGUUGUAAACCCAUAAGAAUGAGAUAGAACAAAUCUACAUGAGGGAAAUGGCGGAGCCAUAAUUUUUCUAAAUGGGAGUUAACAUAUAAAGAAGAAAACAUACAAAAAAAACCCAAAGGGAUUUGACACUGGGGUAUAAAGAAGCGACCCUUUAGACCCUUGUGACACGUUUUAAAGUUGUGCGUGCCUAGUCCAAAGUGAACCAUACAAGCUAUUAGAUCCAUAGUCAUGAUGAUCAAUCCAACAUGAGAAUAGAUACCACUUAAUUAAAUAUUCAACAACUUUCCCUUCUCAACUUGAGCAGAGAGACCUUCGGAACUUUUCACUUCCCAAAUAAUUGUUGAGUCUUGUCAAAAUCCUAACAAAGAAAAAGUAAUAAUAUCGUUCCUUAUAAUCUAUGACCAUAAUGUACAAUAUGUCUCUUAUGUGUUGCAUUAAACAACUUUUUUCUCAUGUACCUUUGGGUUUCAUUCGAGCAGGAUGUUCCAUUUGCAGCAAGUCAUGCUUCAUCUGAAAAAAGCGAAAGGUAGACGGCUGUACGACUUGGAAAUCACAAUCUCCUUACUGAAAGCAAUUAAAAAGACAAGUUAGAAUUCUUAGCCAAUUCAUGUAUUACAAUUACAGACCAGUGCACAUCUAUAUAUAGCUGCACACGAAUGAUUCCUCUAGACAAGUAAUGAAAUAUCAUGGUUUUAUUACACUACAAAAAGUGAUUCCUAAACUAACUACCUAGUAAAGAAGUUUCAAAUUCAAUACGUCAACCAUGGCUCACACGCAAUUUUUUUAAGAACAAAACACUGUGAAGGGAGCCAAGCUGCCAGCCAGUUCAUCUUGAUUAAUAAAGAACUGAAGGCUUCUCAAUUGUUAAACCUCUAGCAUAGUCUUAAUAAUUCAUGAUAGGUGGUCUAUUCGUUUACUAGCCUUAAAUUCAUCUCUGAUGCAAAUCAAUUGCAUGUUUCUGACCAUUCAUGAUUUAAAUUGACUGAAGUUUAAGAACAACCAAGACAAGAUCGAACAACUCCUACAAUAACAAUUGAUGAAGACUGGAGUUUAAGAACAACGAAGACAAGAUCGAACAACUCCUACAAACAAUUGAUCAACGACCAAAUCAAGCUAAUAGACAAGCAAAGGGGAAUUCCACAAAAUGAACUGUCAAUUUAUCUCGACAAUAAAUUGCAACAAAGCGCAGUUUGUAAAACGGCAUAAUGUUUUGAACAACUUAUAUGCAUCAGCUAAAACUAGAAGAAUUAAUAAGAGAUGACUCUUUCUUUGUUAUGCUGUCAAUUCUAAGAAGUAAAAUACAACCUACUACUACUAACGACAACAAACCCAGUAUAGCCCCACAGGUGGGUAUGGGGAGGGUAGAUAUACGUAGACCUUACCACUACCCUUGAGGGGGGGCAGAGAGGCUGUUUCCGAUAGGCCCUCGGCUUGAGAACAGGUUUGAAAGAGGAGCAAGAUUAAAAAAUAAUGAUGAAAGGAAAGUACUGAUGACAGAAAUUCUCCAUACCUUAAACGUGUUCUUUUUAUGUCCCAACAACCUGAUGUGGUGGUGGGCUGGUGGCCAUCCUUGGGUUAUCGGUUUCGGUUCGAUUUGAACAGCCUUAUAUGAAAAUAUAUAAUAAGACAUCCCUAUUUAUAAUACUAACAAACCAAAUUAAACGUAACUAUGACUAAAAAAACUAAUCCUAUAUAAGGUAGGACAAACAAAUUCUAACUAGACAUAAUUAAAUAAAUACCAAAUAAUAAAUCCUAAAUUACUUAGAAUUCCUACUCUUUCUUUAUUUCCUGUAUUAUAUAAACUAAACUUGCGAUUUUUUGAAGUUGAAUACGAAGUUAAUUCCGGAAAGAAAAAUAAACUUUGUUAUUCUCACCAAAACACAGCCAGAAAUAUUGAAUUUGUUUCCUACUUCACAUAUACAUAGGAAAAUAUUGAAUCAAAAUACCAAAUAAUAAAUCCUAAAUUACUUAGAAUUCCUACUCUUUCUUUAUUUCCUGUAUUAUAUAAACUAAACUUGCGAUUUUUUGAAGUUGAAUACGAAGUUAAUUCCGGAAAGAAAAAUAAACUUUGUUAUUCUCACCAAAACACAGCCAGAAAUAUUGAAUUUGUUUCCUACUUCACAUAUACAUAGGAAAAUAUUGAAUCAGUUGAUUCAAUAUAAAUAAAUCUGCUCUGUUUCGUUUACAAUAAGUGAGAAGGGAUGGCGUUUUCAUGUGAAAGUAUCACGGGAAUGAAGAUAAGAGUGUUCAAGUGGAAGCACCAUCAUAUGGUGAGCCAUGUAUACAGUCAUUGUAGGAAGUUUGGGGAUUUAUUACCCGAAUAUGGAUUUUUGAUUUUUCGAGUCAAAAAUAAUAUGACUCCUAUUAUCCAACCUUUCGUGUUAGUAAAUGCAGAAUCCACAUUUGUAGAUCUAGUUAAAAGCAUUAGCAAUGCUUUGUCCCCAUCUAAAUUGUUCUGUUUGGACCCAACUCAUUCUUUAGCCAAAACUAUCUCAGCUUAUUUGAGAAGCUGUUAUUGUAAAACUACCUUCUGUGCCUCAUCACAUCCGAAAGGCAUUAAGAUUGUGGUGACCGUGGACGUGGACGUGAAUGUGGACGUGGACACGUCCCCGUACGUGGACGUGAUCUCAGACUCGGAAUCGGACUCGGAAUCUUCACGGGAUAUGAUCUGCUUAACUAAUAUUAGUAAUAUGUACGAGAUAUUGUGGAAUAAUGUUAGCGAUGAAAAUGUAGUUAAUUUUUACAUGUAUGGAGUUCUAGAGUCUGAUAAUAAGAGGAGAAAUUUAUAUCUAAAUGGAUUUUAUUGUACGGCUGAACUAUAUUUGGCUCGACUUGACAUAGAGUUUGAUGUUGAAAAUUCUGAUAUUCAAGACAUCCUUCAUUCUAUGUCUAAUUACUUGUUGGAGCGCGCUUUGUUUUUUUGUUCUGAAAACAUAUUCGAUGGGAAAAAACAAGAAUUUAGGGAGCUGCUAUGUGGAUUGAAGAUUAUGACAGUGGGGGAAGUAUUAUUGAAGAAUAUUGUGCAUAAUUUUGAGUUGGCAGACGACUUAUGCCCUAUUUGCUUUGGGAAAUUUUCUCAUGAAUCAGUGGUGGCGGUGACAACACCGUGCUCCCAUGUAUUCCAUAGGAGUUGCAUAUUCACUUGGCUAUCAGAGAAGAACAAUUGCCCUAUCUGUAGAAAAAAGGUUGCCUUGCAUGAAUAGUUCUUGUUAUUCUCAUGGCUAUAUUUUCUUUUUUUCUUAUUUGCUACUUUUAGUUUUUAUUUCAUCUUAGCCCUAGGUUUCCAGCUAAGAGCUUUUUAGGCCUAUAUAUUCAGGUAACACCAGCCAUGUAUAAACUAUGUUGAAUGAAAACCUGAUUUUUAUUACAACAUUGUUAAUUACUGUUUCCAGGGCUGGCAUUGGAGGGGUU